rnacentral:rRNA from 1 species
GACGAACGCUGGCGGCGUGCUUAACACAUGCAAGUCGAACGGAAAGGCCCUGCUUUUGUGGGGUGCUCGAGUGGCGAACGGGUGAGUAACACGUGAGUAACCUGCCCUUGACUUUGGGAUAACUUCAGGAAACUGGGGCUAAUACCGGAUAGGAGCUCCUGCUGCAUGGUGGGGGUUGGAAAGUUUCGGCGGUUGGGGAUGGACUCGCGGCUUAUCAGCUUGUUGGUGGGGUAGUGGAUUACCAAGGCUUUGACGGGUAGCCGGCCUGAGAGGGUGACCGGCCACAUUGGGACUGAGAUACGGCCGAGACUCCUACGGGAGGCAGCAGUGGGGAAGAUUGCACAAUGGGCGGAAGCCUGAUGCAGCAACGCCGCGUGCGGGAUGACGGCCUUAGGGUUGUAAACCGCUUUCGCCGGUGACGAAGCGUGAGUGACGGUAAUGGGUAAAGAAGCACCGGCUAACUACGUG